rnacentral:misc_RNA from 1 species
UAAUUUUAUAGACAGAUUCAUAGUGAAUGUAGAGUAGAGAUUAUA